UAGGGAAUCUUCCACAAUGGACGAAAGUCUGAUGGAGCAACGCCGCGUGAGUGAAGAAGGGUUUCGGCUCGUAAAACUCUGUUGUUAAAGAAGAACACGUAUGAGAGUAACUGUUCAUACGUUGACGGUAUUUAACCAGAAAGUCACGGCUAACUACGUGCCAA
rnacentral:rRNA from 1 species